GUACACGCUGUGACUAGCAUAUCAAUAAGCGGAGGAAAAGAAACUAACAAGGAUUCCCUCAGUAACGGCGAGUGAAGCGGGAAGAGCUCAAAUUUGAAAUCUUGAAAGGUCACCUUUCACGAAUUGUAGUUUAAAGAAGUGUUUUCUGUUACGAUCGUAAUAUAAGUUCUUUGGAAUAGGACAUCACAGAGGGUGAGAAUCCCGUCUAUGAUUGCGAUUUGUAGCUUUGUGAUACACUUUCAAAGAGUCGGGUUGUUUGGGAAUGCAGCCCAAAACGGGAGGUAAAUUUCUUCUAAGGCUAAAUAUUGGCGAGAGACCGAUAGCGAACAAGUACCGUGAGGGAAAGAUGAAAGAACUUUGAAAAGAGAGUUAAAUAGUACGUGAAAUUGUCAAAAGGGAAGCGUUUAACACCAGUGUUGUUUUCUGAAAAUCAACCUCUGUUAGCUUUAUGCAUGUUUGUUUAGACCUAAUCAGCUAUCUUUCAUGUUCUAUUGUUUGCAGUGGUGCACUUUUCAGUUUACAGGUCAACAUCAGUUUUUUUACCGUAAAAAAGUUAAAGAAAGGUAGCUCAUGGCUCCGGUCGUGAGUGUUAUAGUCUUUUUCCUAUGCGGUAGGAGAGACUGAGGUCUGCAGUGUAGGCUAUUUGGCUAGAUACUCAGGUGCUAUGUGAUACCAUUUCAUAAACAACUUGUUGAUUAUGUUUUGUCUAUUGCAUACUCGCUUGUACUAUCAUACCUACGCUUAGGAUGUUGAGUAGCGACAUACGCAC
rnacentral:rRNA from 1 species